GGGGAUCGUAAGACCUUGCGUUAAUGGAGCGGCCGAUAUCUGAUUAGCUAGUUGGUGAGGUAAAGGCUCACCAAGGCGACGAUCAGUAGCUGGUCUGAGAGAACGACCAGCCACACUGGAACUGAGACACGGUCCAGACUCCUACGGGAGGCAGCAGUGGGGAAUUUUGGACAAUGGGGGCAACCCUGAUCCAGCCAUUCCGCGUGAGUGAAGAAGGCCUUCGGGUUGUAAAGCUCUUUCGCAAGGGAAGAAAACUUAUGAUCGAAUAAUUCAUGAGGUUGACGGUACCUUGAUAAGAAGCACCGGCUAACUACGUGCCAGCAGCCGCGGUAAUACGUAGGGUGCGAGCGUUAAUCGGAAUUACUGGGCGUAAAGCGUGCGCAGGCGGUUUUGUAAGUCGGAUG
rnacentral:rRNA from 1 species